rnacentral:misc_RNA from 1 species
AACGCAUAUUGCGCCCUUUGGUAUUCUGAAGGGCAUGCCUGUUUGAGCGUCAUUAUCAACCAUCAAGUUAGACUUGUUAUUGGACUUUAUUAUUAAAUAAGUCUUAAAAUUAAUGACAGAUUAUUGAAAUCUAGAUGUAACGAGCUUAUGCAAACAUUAUAGUGAUUAAUAAUCUUGUAAAACUUCAUCAGGUUGACCUCAAAUCAGGUAGGAAUACCCGCUGAACUUAA